rnacentral:lncRNA from 1 species
AUUUAUUGUCUUAUAUAAAUCAAAAAAAGAUACAUAGAAUACGGGAUGGAUCUUCAUAGACUCUACUAGAUAUAAUCAAUUAGCAUCAAGAUUGACUUGUACACUAAUAGAAAAAGGUCUAAUGCCUAUAAUAGUCCAACUUAACACGAGGAUGAGUAGUCUUGAUAUUACAACUAAGUAGCCAUAUCUUAUUACUCAUGUUGAAUUGUGUUUGUUCUUAGCAAUAGACAUCUACAUUGAUCUUUUAUUAUUCUUAAGCUUCCUUUAACUGUACCUUCAUUCUUGCAUAUAAUUUUGACAAACAAUU